UACAGAGGGUGCGAGCGUUGUUCGGAAUUAUUGGGCGUAAAGCGCUUGUAGGCGGCUUGUUAAGUUCCGUGUGAAAUCCCUCAGCUUAACUGGGGAACUGCGUCUGAUACUGGAUGGCUUGGAUUCGGGAGAGGAAUGCGGAAUUCCAGGUGUAGCGGUGAAAUGCGUAGAUAUCUGGAGGAACACCGGUGGCGAAGGCGGCAUUCUGGACCGACAUUGACGCUGAGGAGCGAAAGCCAGGGGAGCAAACGGG
rnacentral:rRNA from 1 species